AAUAAUGAUGUAUUUGGCAAAUCAAAUACCAUGGUCUAAUAAUCAACCAUUCUGAUUAAUUGAUAAUAUUAGUAUUAGUUGGAAAUUUUCUGAAAGAUUCCUGUGAAAAGUUUCAUUAACGCGUAAUUCGUGUCGAGUAGACCUUGUUGUUGUGAGAAUUCUUAAUUCAUGAGUUGUAGGGAGGGAUUUAUGUCACCACAAACAGAGACUAAAGCAAGUGUUGGAUCCAAAGCUGGUGUUAAAGAGUACAAAUUGACUUAUUAUACUCCUGAGUACCAAACCAAGGAUACUGAUAUAUUGGCAGCAUUCCGAGUAACUCCUCAACCUGGAGUUCCACCUGAAGAAGCAGGGGCCGCGGUAGCUGCCGAAUCUUCUACUGGUACAUGGACAACUGUAUGGACCGAGGAGUCAAGUCUGUCUGCCCGGUGGUCGGAUGUGAAGGAGUGAGUAAUGAGCCAUUUUUCGUUUGGAGUGGGUGCCGUGGUAAUGAACGGAUUCGAAGACUCUGUAUAGCUCUGCAUUCCUUUUUCUUUAUUGUCUGGUAGUUAAGGAGUGAAUGCAAAUCAGAUAAGAAAGAGACUAAACUCCGAUGUCGGAAUCUCGUCUGCGUAGUUCGAAUCUCUUUCUUCCCGAAAAUCCCAUGAUGUGCAUGUACAUACAGCUUCUAAUAAUGUUGCUACUACAAAUUUUGCAGCUUCUACUAGUGAAAAAAAAGACUUAGCUCUAGGGCACAAUAGACGAGGCCAUGCUUUUCUUACUACUCUAAGGAAGCUAAGUUGUUUUAAAUGUAUUUCUAUUAAGGUUGAGGCUACUGUUGUAGACAUGUGCACUGCAUGCCCUUUGGCUAAACAAUCAAGGAUUUUUCCUUUAAGUACCACCUCUACAUAUGCUUGUUUUCACUUAUUACAUGCUGAUGUCUGGGGUUCCUACAGGGUACCUAUACAUGACGGUAAAAGGUUUUUUAACCUUGGUUGAUGACUAUUCCAAAUACAUUUGGAUAGUUCUGCUUAAAUCUAAAUCAGAAGUCAUAGUUGUUCUUAAAAACUUCCUUAUCAUGAUAAAAAAUAUGUUUGGUACUUUUAUUAAAUGCCUAAGAUCUGACAAUGGUUGUGAGUUCUUCAACUCUCAAAUAACUGACCUACUCGUAUCACUUGGAAUUCUACAUCUAAUCUCUUGUGUCUAUACACCUCAAUAAAAUAGUUUUGUAGAGAGAAAGCAUAGACAUAUUCUAGACACAACCAGGUCUAUCAGAUUCCAGUCUCAUGUACCUCUGAAGUUUUGGGAGAAUGUGUCCUUACUAGUAUGUAUCUCAUUAACAGAUUGCCCUCUACUGUCCUUAAGGGUAAGACUCCUUUUGAAUAUAUGUAUCAUUCUGGUCCUUCUCUUGAGCAUCUUAGAGUAUUUGGCUACUUAGCUUAUGCUACUGAAGUAAGGAGGGUGGAUAAGUUUGCCUCAAGGGCUAUUCCUGCAGUAUUUCUUAGUUACUCACAUCUCUCAAAGGGGUACAAACUCAUGGUUUUACAUACCAAGGAAUUCUUAGGCAGUAGAGAUGUAGUCUUUAAUGAAAAUGUAUUUCCUUUCCAACACAUGAGCUCUUUCUCUCAUAUAUUUUAUCCUCCUUUGUUCCAUGAUUCUACUGAUGCUAAGUUUGUGCCUUUGGUGAUUCCUGCAUCCUCUAGUUCUACCACUGCUGAUCUUCUGGUUCUAGGUUUUGCUCUCAACUCAGUUCAAGAUAUUGCCCAGCCUGAACCUGCUAUUACUGAAUCAGUUGAGUUACUUCCCUUAUCUCAAACUAGAAGAACUUCUACUAGACAGACUAGACCACUAAUUUGUCUUAAAGACUAUCAAACUAAAGUGUCUAAAGCUAACUUUGCAUGUCUAUACCCUAUUUCUUACCAUGUGCGCUAUGCUGCACUCUCUUCUUCUUACUGUGCUACUUUAUUAACUUACUCUUCAGUACAUGAACCUACUUUAUUUUUUGAAGCUUCUAUGGAUCCCGAGUAGAUUGAAGCAAUGAAGUCUGAAAUGGUUGCAUUUGAGGAUAAUAAUACAUGGACCAUAGUUUAUUUUCCCCCGGUAAAAUUCUCAUUGGUUAUAAAUGGGUGUUUAAAGUUAAGUAUGUAGCAUCUGGUGUUGUUGAAAGAUACAAGGUCAGGAUAGUUGCAAAGUGCUUUAAUCAGAUAGAAAGGUUGGACUACUCAGACACAUUCUCUCCGGUGGCUAACACGGUCACGUCAGAUCAUUGUUGUUGUUGCUGCAGUUAAGCACUAGCCUGUGUUUCAGAUGGAUGUUCACAAUGUUUUUCUGCAUGGUGAUCUUAUUAAAGAUGUAUCUAUGGCUCUUCCCCCUGGCAUUUACAGACAAGGAGAGGUUGAUAAGGUCUAUAAGUUGCAAAAAUCUCUUUAUGGGCUUAAGUAAGCUCCAAGGCAAUGGAACUUGAAACUAACAGAGGCUCUUAUUCAACUUGAGUUUGUACAAAGUCAUUAUGACAACUCUCUGUAUACAAAGACAGCAGGGAAGGAUCUAGUCAUAGUACUAGUCUAUGUUGAUGAUCUGUUAGUAAUUGGUAGAUAUAGCAGAUUGAUUGAUCAAACUAGAAGUGAUCACAUGUUUAAGUUCAAGAUGAAAGACUUGGGUCCUUUAAAGUUCUUUCUUGGCAUUGAAUUUUCUAGGUCCAAGAAGGGGAUUGUCAUAAGCCAAAUAUAAAAUAUGCUUUAGUCCUUAUUUUUUAGCUAGGACUUAGUAGAGCCAAGCAAGUGUAUGCACCACUUGAUCCAAGUCUGAGAUUGACCUUAAUUGAAUAUGACUCACAUGUAAACAACUCAGGAGAAGAUCCAGUAGAUAAACCUCUAAAAGAUAUUAGGAAAUAUCAAAGGCUAGUUGGGAGGUUGUUGUAUUUAACAAUGACAAGAGUGGACAUUUCCUUUGUUGUACAAGUGUUGAGCGAGUUCUUGCAUGCACCUAAGGAAUCCCACAUGGAAGCUGCUAUCAGAGUGGUGAAAUAUGUUAAGGCUUCACCAGGCUUAGGCUUGUUCAUGCCAUCGCAAGGCUCAGGUACAUUGACAGCAUUUUGUGACUCAGACUGGGGAACUCGUCUACAAACUAGAAGGUCUGUGACUGGGUAUUUAGUUAAAUUUAGAGCUGCUUUGGUGUCUUGGAAAUCAAAGAAGCAAAAGAUAGUAGCUAAAAACUCAGCUGAAGCAGAGUUCAGAAGUAUGGCCUCAACAGUGGCUGAAAUCACCUGGCUUAUAGGCCUGUACAAAGAGUUGGGUAUUAAGGUUCAACAACCAAUAAACUUAUUGUGUGACAGCAAAGCUGCAUUGCAAAUUGCAGCCAACUCAAUUUUUCACAAGAGGACAAAACACUUUGACACUAAUUGUCACUUUGUCAGAGAGAAAUUGGUGCAGAAAAUAAUUUAGACUCGUCAUGUAUCAACCAAGGAACAGCUAGCUAAUUUGCUUACAAAGAGUCUAGGCAACACACAACAUACUCAUCUUUUAUCCAAGCUGGGAGUGAAGGAUCUAUUUCACUCAUCAGCUUGAGGAAAGAUGUUCAGUAUUCUUAGUGAAUGAGUUAGUCACAGAGUUAGUUACACUGUAGAUGUGAGUUAGUUACAAUGUACAACACAAUACUUGUGUGUACUAGUUGGUUAGUUAGUUAGAAAAGUUAACUUAAUGAGAUGAGUUAGUUAGUUGAUAUUAGAAGUUCCUCUAUAAAUAGAGGUGUGUAGAUAGUGUGUGGAACUAAUAUUUCAUUGAUUUAAUAAAAGGUUCACUUUCAGUUCUCUCUCCCUCUCUAUGAGUUGAAACUCAGCUCCAUGGAUCACCAUUGUUGAUUCUCAACUGUUCGAGCUAUUAGAAAUGUUGUUUCAAGAAAUAUUUGCCCUUAAUAUAAGCAUAAUCUAAGGUUUAGAGUAAAAUAUCCUCCAAGAACUCUAAUAGAAUUUGAAUUCAUCUUGUAGAGUUCAAAAAAAUUUAAAUGUCUACACUAGCAUAAAGACAAAAUAUACAAGGUGAUUUUUUUCAUCUGUCUUGAUGAAUAAAGUUACUCUGAUAUCUGACGGUGGUGAUGAAAGGUGGUAUGUAAGUAUAUAUAUGUGUGUGCCUCACGCUUAAUUCAAUAUCAACAAUAAACCCAGUAUAUUUUCACAUAGUGGGGUUCGGAGAUGUCUCACGCUUAAUUAAUGAUCCUUUCUGCGGACAGCCUAUCAAAUCAGAUCACGUAUUUUGGAAUAUGUCGUUACAUCAUGUACAUGUAUUCGCUUUUUCAUUUUUUUGGAUGUUCCUGCUCGUGCGCCGAUGCCUGCUGCUUCAUCUGGGAGAAAAGAAUCAUAGAUAUGCCGGUCAUUAGAAGGAAGAACCGCCAUAAAAAGAGGGUGUCACCCUCUAGCUGUAAUCUAUCUCUUUCUCUAUGAUAUAUCCAUAUUAAAUCACAACAUUAACAACAACAUAUCUUUUUUGUUAUUCUACAUGUUUGAGAGUAAACCGUAUGCAAAUGUUACUUUUACUUCAAACGAUAGAAAAGUUAUUUUAAUAAAUUCUCGACUCAAUAAUUUCAAAUAAGUUCCAAAAAAAUAAAGAAAUAGAAAACAACGAAGCCAUGACAAAAAAAAAAAAAGAAAGAAAACAUGACAAAGUAGUUGAAAAGAAAUGACACUAAUUAACUACAAUAAAAUGAUCGGAUAAUCAAAAUAUAAAAGACAACAAAUAGUAGGUAUAAUGAAUUCAUAAUAUUAAAAAUAUAAUAAAUUCUAAAAAAUUUUAACGUUGAACUCAUAAAUUUAAAUUCUUAAUUUAUAUAUAUAUAUAUAUAUAUUAAAUAGAGAAUAUAGAUAUUUUUAUUUGAACUAGCAGAUGUAUAACUUUUCCUUUUUUAAUCAUAGCAUCUUUUUCUGUUAACAAUCAGGUAAUCUCAUCAUGUUGCGUUGGCCAGGAGAAUCUAAGGAAAACAUUUUAUUUUGUAUAAUAAUAAAAAUAAAGUGAUUUAAAGGGAACAAUUCGUACAUAUUAUGAUGUGUACAUGUGCACUUUUUCCUUUUAAAAAAAAAUAAUAAAUAAAAAUUAUUUGUUUAUACAAAUAAUUUGUAUUGUAACCACUAGAGUUGGUAUGGUGGUUUAGCGCCAUGUCCCUUAAUCAAGAGGUCGCGGGUUCGAUUCCCGCCUCUGGCGAAUGGAGCAAAUCCUGUUGCCAGUUCUCUACUACUUAGUGUGAGGUUCCUCGGAAAUGAUUUCUUAUGAUUACUUAGAAAAUUAUUUGGUAGCUGAUUAAAGUUGUACAGGACUUCAUUAUGAACGAAUGUAUUUAUGAUUUUAUGCAAGGUGUUAACUAUGCGAUUUAAUUUUAUGUAACUAGCAAUUAUUCAUGCAUUUGUUAUUUUAUAAUAUAAUAUGUAAAUUUCCUCAUAAUCUAUACUUGUAUUAAUUCUAUAUGUUUCUCAACAUCUUAACUUAUUUUGGAUUUAAAUACUGUCUUAAAUUUUAUAUAUAGAAAUAAUUACCUUCUAAUCAGCUACAAAACUUAGUAUUACUAUACAAGAUUUUAGAAUUUUUAAAACAUGGAUAAACCAUUAAAAGAAAGAAAGAAAAAAUAUAUUUAGUGAGAAUUGAUCCCUAAAUUCUUAAGGUAAAUAACUUAAAGUUUAGCCAAGUGUAUUAUUUAGUCUUCUCAUAACAUAGGUGUCAACAAGUAAUAUUACUAAUUUUAGAAUAUAUACACAUAAAAUACUUAGUUUUACUAAAAAAUAAGGUUCACAUGCCCUCUUUUUUAAUAUAAUUUCGCUUCUCGAUAUUACUUACUCUGAAUAUAACACCUACAUAAUUCUCCUCUCGAUAUUACUUACUCUGAAUAUAACACCUACAUAAUUCUCCUCUAAAAAAGCCAUCAAAAGCUUUUACAAUUUGAAUGACAAAAAAUAAUUAUUUUCGGACCAUAAGAUUUAAUAACAUUUUAGUCAUGGAAUAAUAUGAUUAAUUAAGAGAAUAAUAUCAAUUAUUUUUUAAAUUUUUUUUUUUUUUUUAAAGUAUCAUAAGCAUUACGAUCAUUCUAUUUUGUCAAACUCUGAUAGGAGAUUCUUUUAUUUAACUUGGAAAAGGACAAUUCCAGAAUAUAUAUAUUAGUUGCUUGGAUGAAUGUGCCUAAUCAUAGAAGACAACCUAGUACCAUUUGGAUAUUUUUCUAAUCUUCAAUCUUUCACUACCACAAAGAGUUGGAUAUACAAAAUUUCUUUUUAAAAAAAAAAUAUAUAUUUUUGGUGUUUGAAUUAAUUUAUGCAUACCUCGAUAAAGUAUUUUAUAAAAUAUUUGUCCAGAGGCGAACCUUUGUGUAUUUUUAUAGUGCAUGACACCCAUUAAAUUUGGUAUAACUAUAUACGUAAUAUAUAAAAAUUGGUAUAGGAAUAAAAAAAAACAUUAAGAAAAUCAAGAAGCUAGUUGAGUGUUUUAGUUUUCAAACGAAACCUUAAAACAUUAGGUGUCAAUAUCUGUUAGAACCUCCCUGAGGCACCCAUGCAACCACUAAAUUCUAAGUGUGCCACAAUAUUUGUCACCUAAUGUCUAUCAAAAUUAGAAUAUAAAGAAAAUAAAUCACACAGUUUUUGUACUUGUUGAAAAUUGAACCUGAGAUCUCAUGGUGCUCAAUCAAUUUCAUUAAACCGACAAGGCACAUCUGUAGGAGCAAAGCAAAAGUUUUCUAAGUUUGAAACUUGAUAAUGGAAAAAUUCAUGAUUUAUAGGGUGUUUGAAUUGACUUAUUUUUAAGUGUUUUGGGUUUUUAAAUACUUUUUGAUUUUUGAAAUUGUUUGACAGAUACACAACUUUAGACUUAAAAGGUUCAUAAAAAAAAUCAAAAAUAAAAAGUAGAUUGUUACAUACUUUUAACUCUUAAUUUUUUUACUUAUAAAUCACAUAAAAAUAACCCUUAAAAGUGUUCUAAUGAAUUUUAUGCUGCAGAAAUAUGUUUAGUAGAUUAUAAACUUUGGUAAUGGACAAUUGAAUAUUAAGUGUUUUUAUCUUAAUUAAUCUUAAAAAGAUAAAUGUAUGGCUAUCUCCCUUUCUUAUUUUUACCCCAAUCUUUUUAUUUUUACUUUCUUUCUUUCCCUUGCCUUAAUUUGUUUUUGGGCUCCAUCAAAUAUUCAAGUGGAGCACCAACAAAUUGAUUAAAGCGACUUUCCACUUACACUUAUCUGGAUAUGAUCACGAUAUUCUGUCAGUUGUGAUUUAACUCAAUAAUCAUAUCGUAUCAGAAAAUAUUAUUAUUCUCUUAUUAAAGCAACGAUCAUAUCAUAUUAGAAAAUACUAUUACAUUUUUAUUUAAAUUUUUUUUAUUAUUUAUUAAUUAUAAUAUAUAUGACUCAGCAACACGAUAAAAUAGUGAUGUUCUUUUUAUAAACUAGGGGCGUGAACCAACACACCUAUGAACCAAUAACAUAAAUGUUGUAAUAUUCCUUGUUAAUUAUGAUAUUCUGUCAGUUGUGAUUUAACCCAGUAAUCAUAUUGUAUCAAAAAAUAUAAAUAUGCUCUUAUUAAAGCAACAAUUAUAUCGUAUUAGAAAAUGCUAUUACACUUUUAUUUAAAAAAAAUUGUUAUUUAUUAAUUAUGAUAUUACUCAGCAACACGAUAAAAUAUUGAUGUUCUUUUUAUAAACACGGAGCGUGAACCAACACCUAUGAACCAAUAACAUAGAUAUUGUAAUACUCUUUGCCAAUUACGAUAUUUCGUCAGUUGUGAUUUAACUCAGUAAUCAUAUCAUAUCAGAAAAUAGUAUUAUGCUCUUAUUAAAGCAACAAUCAUAUUGUAUUAGAAAAUACUAUUUCAUUCUUUUUUAAAAUUUUUUGUUAAUUAUUGAUUAUGGUAUGACUUAGCAACACCAUAAAAUAAUGAUGUUCUUUUUAUAAACUAGGGGCAUGAACCAACACCUAUGAACCAAUAACAUAGAUGUUGUAAUAUUCUUUGUUAAUUACGAUAUUUCGUCAGUUGUGAUUUAACUCAGUAAUCAUAUCAUAUCAGAAAAUAUUAUUAUGCUCUUAUUAAAGCAACAAUCAUAUCGUAUUAGAAAAUACUAUUUCAUUCUUAUUUAAGAACUUUUGUUAAUUAUUGAUUAUGGUAUGACUUAGCAACACCAUAAAAUAUUGAUGUUCUUUUUAUAAACUAGGUGCGUGAACCAACACCUAUGAACCAAUAACAUGGAUGUUGUAAUAUUUUUUGUUCUUGAAUAUUUCUAGUAGUACUUUUUAUACAUUUGUAUGAUACAACCUUGGGAAAGUAGAUUAAGCAUCUUCAUUAGCAUACAGUAAUCCCCUAAGCAUCUUAGUUUUUUAAUUAAUAAGUUAUGCCUUUUCCUUAGUUGGAGGCUAAUCCAAUUUCAAAGCUCAUAUAUUUGGUGAAGUGGCUAUCCACUAGUCAUGUCUCUUAUUUAGUUUUAUCAUUUUAUUUUAAAAAAUAAAUAAAUUAUGCUCUUGUUUAAUUUAGAGAUAGUUACGUGUCUAAAUACUUUGAUCGACUAGUUUACAAAAUAUAUACUAUGUGUGUAGGUUAUAUAUAAUGUAUACUAGAUAUACAUAUACUAUAUAUAUAAUAGGUAAAAGAGUCAAAUUUAUUUCUUUACUUUGAAAAAUUAUCUAAAUAUAUCCUUCGUCAUAUUUUGGGGUUCAAAUUUUAUCCUUGUUGUCAUGCAUUGAGGCCAAAUUAACCCCUCUAUUUUAGAAAAUUGAGCAAAAUAUACCCUUCGUCAUACUUUACUCUUAAUAUCAUACUUUGGGGUCAAAUUUACCCUUGUUGUUAAGAAACUUUUGACAUGUACCCUUUCUUUACUAGAAAAGUCCAAUCAACGUUAAAUAUCCUAUAUUUUAAAAAUAAAACACUAUUCUAAUCUGUCCGAUACAAGUCGAGUCACAAAAAAGACACAAAUAAAUAUACACUCCUCAAUUCUGUUACUUAAAUUUUUCCAACGAGAUUAAGCCACUGAAUAUUUAUCAGCGUAUAGCACAUGAAAAAUGAAUUUGCAUCAGUGCAAACACAAACAAAUACACCUCUCCUUCACUUCAUAGAUCUGCACAGUGCAAAACUCAUGAAAAAUGACACUUGACGGUGAGAUGCAACAGAAUAGGCCAAUUGAAGUUUCUUUAGAUAAUUAAGUUAAGAGGUCUCCCUAUGUGUCUGUGACAUCUCUUCAUUCUUAUAUUUUUUAUAUAUACGAUUUGGAUCUAUACAAAUUUCUCAUCAUUUCAUUUGCUCAGAAAACUUAUCCACUGAUUGUAGAAUCUAGAUGUACAUAGAAUUGCAUACCAAAAUUUGAAAUUUGAACAUAACUGAACAAGAGCAGAGUUUGUGUCAUACAUUUUCUCUAGUUCCAUGCUUCUAUGUUGUCACAUUUCAUUUUUUUGUUCAUUUGUAAACAACCUAUCAGCGCUGCACGUUGAAAGAGAAUUAUAUUUGUUCAUUGAAAUAAAUCGGCCAGUAAAAUUGUGGAAGGAGUAUAUUUGUUUGUGUAUUUUUGUGGGUCGCAUUGGACUGAUAAAAUUAGAAUGUGUUUAUUUUUAAAAAUGGGUCAUAUAAUGUUGAUUUGGGCUUCUGUUAAAAGAAAGGUAUAGGUGAAAAAUUUCUUAACAACAAGGAUAAAUAUGGCACCAAAGCAUGUCAUUGAAGAUAAAUUUGAUCCUAAAAUAUGAUGAAGGGUAUAUAUGUUUAAUCAAUUUUUUUAAGUAGACGGGUAAAUUUGACCUCAAAAAUCACUACGAGGGGUAAAUUUGACUCCAAAAUAUGACAAAAGAUAUAUUUUAGUCAAUUUUUCUAAGUAAAGGAUAAACUUGAUCAUUUUUCCUAUAUAAUAUACAUAUCUAUCCAUAGUAUAUUUGGUACUCUUUCAUUUUUUAAAAAAAAGAAAAAAAAAACUAUUUUUUAUUUGCACUUACGGGAGAAAAGAGGUGGGAUGAUAUUGUAAUAGACAUCUUUCAGAAUUUUCAUGUGAUGUUCCAGUUUGCUGUACGUGCAAUGUCGGAUAAUAAUGGAGCUAAAAUAAAAUAAAUUUUAAACGUUAAAAGUGAAAAAUAAAUAACAAACAUAAUAGUUAGUCUGUGUUACUAUAUUAAUAUUUGGUAGUGAUUAAUUCAAAGAAUACUAGACAAUUAAAUUGGACAAAUGUUAACUGAAGUUACAUUAAAGUUAAAGUUUAUAAUAAUGUUUGCGAAGUUAUAUAUUUGAUUAAGCAUAUAUAUUAAUUUUUGUUGUUGAUAGAGAGUCUGAAUCUAUGAAUAAAGAGAUUUGAUAUUGAUUCUCGCUUUAAUUUCAUCAAUCGAUGAAAAAGUUAUUUGAGCUAGGAGGUAGAUAAUUAAAAAGGUAAAAUAAAAUUAAAGUUCGAUAUUUCUCUUUAUCUUAUUAUAUAUAUAACAAUACUCCUAUAUGGAGAUGCUCAAUUUUAAUGAUAAAGAGGCUCAAAUCACUGUACGAAAAGAUUUGAGCUUGAUUCGCACUGUCUGUCAUUAAAAAGAAAAAAAGAAAUAUAAUUGAAAAAAUGGAGUAAAAUGAAGUUCAAUAUCUAACUUUUCAUAUAUAACAGUUCAUGACGUGGAGAUGCUCAAUUUUAUUGAUAAAGAAAUAUAAUAUAGCAAAGAGAUUUGAGCUUGAUUCGCAUUCUCCAUCAUUACACAGAAAUACAUAAUUAAAAAGAUGGAGUAGAUCGAUGUUCGACAUCUGACUUAACUUGUAUAAUAGUACUCUCACGUAAAGAUGCUUAAUUUUAUUUUAUUUUUGAUAAAGAGGUCCAAAUAUGUGAAUAAAAAAUUUUGAUCAGCUUCGCUCGCAAAUGACCAUAUAUUCUAACUGAAAUAAUUUUCUUAGGAUAAAUAAAUACAAUUUAAAAAUAUUAAUGUGAAAAAAAUGGAGUAAACCAAGUUUCAAUAUCUAACCUAGCAUAUAAAACAUGGUUCCAAUAUAACAUUUUUUCUUUAUUGAUAAAGAGAUCUGAAUCUAUAAAAAAAAAAUAUUUGAGCUUGAUUGUCACCCGCUGUCAAUUAAAAAAAAGAAUAUAUAAAUAAUUGUAAAACAUAAGUAAAUCAAAGUAUAAUGUCUGACUCAACAUAUAUAAAGUUAAUUUUUUUUCUUUAGUGAUAAAAAGGUCCAAAUCUAUUGACGAAAAGAUUUAAGCUUAAUUAAUUCCACUCACCAUUAUUGAAAGAGGUAGAUGAUUUAAAAAGAUAAGAGUAGAUUGAACUUUUAAUUUAUCUUAAAGUUGUUUAGGGCUGAAACUGUGGGCUUUAUUCUCCACUUAAUUAAUUAGUACUAUAAGAUAAUACAUGGAAUAUUAAUAAUAAAGUAUAGUAAGUACAAAAAAAAUACUAUUAAUUAACAACUAUUUAGGAGUGGUCGCCGUCAAGAAUGAAGAAAAAAACUUUUAUAAAUAGUGCUAUCAAUGUUUAUUUUUGUAAAAAAAAUUAAAAAUAACGACAUUUUGCUGUAUUUUAAAAUAUAACAACAUUUUUAUUUCGAUUCAUAGCAUAAUACAUGUUCUCAUGCAGAUAUCUCUUCUAAUGGAAAUUGAAUUGAUAUAGUACCUAAUUGUAAUUAUAUGCAUGUGUGUGUAGACGUUGUAGUGGACAAACGCUAAGAUGAAUAGGCCCGCUAGUAUGUCCAGUGUUUAUUUUACUGGCUUGUAUGAUCUCGGAAUAUGGUUGUCCGAUAUUCCUUGUGGACGAACAGGAAAAAUAUAACCUAUAGAUUCAGCAUGGAGCGUGGAAGGUUUGAUCCUUUUAUUUCGGGAGAAAUAACCUCUCAUCAUAGGUGUAUAUUUUCAAAGUAGAUGUAAUUUACAAUAAUUUGUACUAUAGUCUUAGAACAAAAUCUUCAAGUACAUAUUCUUGGGACAAUUUGUCUUUUUGAGUUCCUUAGACUUGAUUAAAAAUUUAAAACGUUUUUAAGUUAAGAUAUCUAUACAUUUUAUCAUAUGAAAUUCAUGCAUAAGAUCUCAUGGUAGUACUUCAAAAUGUAAAAAGCACUCGUGAAAUUUCUUAUCGAAAGGUCCAAUGCAAUAAGUUGAUUUGUGUGAAUUAGACAAUAGAUUUGAGCUUGAUUCACGUUCUGCGUCAUUAAAAAAAGGUAGACCAAAGUUCGAUAUCUAACUUAGCAUAUAAGAGAUUGUUCCCAUAGAGAGAUGCUAAACUUUAUUAACAAAGAGGUUUCUGUCGAUAAAAAGAUUUGAGCUUGAUUUGUGCUCUUUAUAAUUAAAAAGAGAAGUAAAAUCGAAAAAGAUGAAGUAGACUAGGUCAUAUUUGAUUGGAUAUAUAAUAAUGUUUUCACAUAGAGAUGCUCAAUUUUAUUAAUGAAGAGGUAUGAAUCUAUGGACAAAAAGAUUUGAGCUUGAUUAGCGCUCUAUCAUUAAAAAGAGAAACAAAAUUAAAAAAAAUGAAGUAGGCUAGAUCAGUAUUUGACUACAUAAAUAACAGUGUUUUUACAUAGAGAUGCUCAAUUUUAUUAAUGAAGAGGUAUGAAUCUAUGAACAAAAAGAUUUGAGUUUGAUUCGCGCUCUCCAUCAUUAAAAAGGGAAACAAAAUCGAAAAAGAUGAAGUAAACUGGAUCAAUAUUUGACUACAUAUAUAACAGUGUUUCACAUAGAGAUGCUCAAUUUUAUUAAUGAAGAGGUAUGAAUCUAUGAACAAAAAGAUUUGAAUUUGAUUCACGCUCUCUAUUAUUAAAUAGAAAAAAAAAAAGUAAACUGGAUCAAUAUUUGACUGCAUAUAUAAUAAUGUUUUCGCAUUGAGAUGCUCAAUUUUAUUAGUAAUAAACAGGUACGAAUCUAUUGACAAAAAGAUUUAAGCUUGAUUUACAUUCUCCAUCAUUAAAAGAGGAAAAUAACUUAAAAAGAUAUGAAGUGAACAAAAGUACAAGAUCUAACUUACUAGCAUAGAUCAUAUUGUCCCUUACAUAGAUGCUCUAUUGAGAAUUAAAGAGGUUUGAAUAUGUGAACAAAAGAUUUGAGAUUAAUUUCACUCCUCAUUAUUCAAAAAAAAUUGAUAUUAGAUUUAGAAUAUAUAAAAACGUUCAAUAUAAAGAUGCUUAACUUUUUUUUAAUUAUUGAUAAAAAGGUUUAAAUUUACACACAAAAUAAUUUAAAGAUUGAUUCUUCCUCGCAUUCUUAAUAAGAGGUAAAUAAUUGAAAAGGAUGGAGUAAACUAAAGUUCGAUACAAACAAAGAGAUGCUCCAUUUGUUAAUUGAUAAAGAGGUCUAAAUUUACGGACAAAAUAUUUAGAUCAACUUUCGUUCUUCAUCAUUAUAAAGAGAUGAUUAGAUAAUUGAAAAGAAUAAAUUUAGCAAAUAAUAAUGUCCUAACAUGAAAAUGCUUAAUUUUUUUUUGAUAAAGAGGCUCGAAUCUAUGAACAAUUUCUUUCAACUUGAUUCAUUAUCUCCAUCAUUGAAAAGAACCUUAAAUAUUUUCUCCACUUUAAUAUGGAUAGCUAAUUAUGUUAAUAAAAUAAGAGUAGGUACAAAAAAGAAAUUAUAUUUAACAACACUUUGGAAGUGGCCGCCGUCAAGACUAAUAAAGAAUACUUUUUUUAAUUAACAAGACUUUACUCCAUAAAUUGAGAGACAAUUUUGGGAUAGUCAAAUGUAUAGUUUAUUAAGGUAUUAUAUGAUCUUAUUCUUUCUGUUGACAUGUGUCAUUUGAGUACUAUUUGUUUCUUGAUAAUUGUAGAGUUCAAACUAUAUUUACGCCACCUUAAUUAAUUGAAAAAAUAAUAUAAAUUUUAAUAGUUUAGAUCUUAAUAAUUUUUAAAAAUCUCAAUUUUGAAUCAAUCGAGAUAUAUAAUUAGGUUUUGAUAUAUUCAACGAAGAUUCAUUUUUUCCUUUGUAAAGAUACAUAAUUAGCUCAUGAUACAAUUUUUCUAUUUUGAAUCUGUCGCGAGAUACAAAAUACAUUUAAUGAAGAUACAUAUCUAUUUUUCUUUGUAAAGAUACAUAAUUAGCUUUCGAUAUAUUAUUUUCAAUUUUGAAUCUAUCGAGAUACAUAAUUAGCUCCCAAUACAUCCAAAAAAGAUACAUAAUUAGUUGAAAUUUGUAUAAUUACUUUACACGGGUGGAGAUAUAAAUAUAGUAAAUUAACGCAUAUGUUUAUAUUAGUUUUUCUAAUUAAUUCCCUAAAAUAUCUAUCACCUUUCACUAGUAAUAUCUAUCAUGUACAUUAGUAAAACUUCUAUUUGAAUGUUUCUUAUUAGUUUUGAAGUGAAUUAUGGAAUUUUCCUUCACUAUAUUUUAAACUCCCUCUUUUUCAAUUUACAUAUAUCUAACUAGUCUCCCAUUAAAGAUGUUUUCACUUUAAUCAAACUUCUUUUACAUGGGCACCAUGAACAAAUCCUUACUAUUUGUGAUUUUUAACAUUUGCUCGUCACCAACAAUCUUUGUCCAACUUAAUUUUUUACAAUCUAAAGAUCAGGAUUACAAGUAAUUUGAUCUUAUGUUCACGCAUAAGAUCUCUGAUACAAUCCAAAAUGCCUCAGAGCCUUUUGAUGUGAUCAUGAAGUGAGAACUAUCCCUUACUGCUAUCCAAAGGAUGCCACGAGUUGGUGAUUACAUCCCAGAGGGGUCGAGGGGCCUUGGAGAGGUCAAAGGGAAGCAAAGAAAAGUUAGAAGAUGCCUUGGAGGCACCUGCCAAAGAAGUCACCUGCGCCCACAAGUAGGGAGGUGCAGACGCAUAUGGCUUUUUGGCCUCUUCCAGAGUCACCUAUGAAUUGACACACAUGGUAGGUGCCACCUGCAUCCUAAUAUGAGUGGGCAUGUGCUCAAUUUACUGAAAUGGAUCACUUUUGGGCUCAUAGUUAUAAUAAAUAGCUCAUGACUAUAAAUAGUACUAUCUUCGUUCCAUUUUAUGUAUCGCCAUUUGACUGGGCACAAAGUUUAAGAAAUAAGAGAAACUUGGCAAUAUUUAUCAAAUUAUCCUUUAUCAUGGUAUUAUUUUUUUUUAAUUAAGUGAGAUCAAUAAAGGUAAAAGUGGAAUUGUGUAUUUAAAUAGUCACCAAAUAAGGAAAGAUGACAUUCUUUUUGGAACGGACCAAAAAGAAAAUGAUGACACAUAAAAUGGGAGGGAGGAGUAGUUUUUUCUUCAUUUUUAGACUACUUUUGAGGCUAAAGAACAAUUAUACACAUGAGAGUGUGAGUGAGCUAGAAUUAGCUUACGUUGAAAAAUCAUUUGGAAACGUUGAUUGCUUGGGAGUUUGAUUCCCUGAUGGUCUACGUAAGAGUUAAGUGCUAAUUAGGAUUAUUGAAUUGAGGAUUUAGGUUUUAAUAUACCCUUUAUUUGCUUUCAAUUUAUUCUGGUUCUCAUAGUUUUCCCAUUAUCAAUCUCAUACUACAUGUAAAAGUUAUAUAACAUUUACAUGUUUAAUUUGUAUGUUUUGAUUUGCCUAGCUAGUUGUUUUAAAAUGUAAAGACGACUUGAGAAAUCUCUCAUUAAAAAGUACAACUAUAUAUAAAAAUAACUCAAAAAAUCUCUUUUUAAAAGAUACAAUCGUCUAAUGUGUCCCAUGAAAUCUCUCAUUCAAAGGUAAAGUUAUUUAAUCUGUAUAUACAAGACGCAAAAAGAACAUCUUAUGAAAUUCUCAUUGAAAUGUAACUAUUUGAUCCAUGUUGUGUAGUCAAAUGAGCACUAGAUGUAAAAAGGAAAUCUCUCAUUAAAUGGUACAUCAGAUGUAAAAAGAACUCAUGAAAUCUCUCAUUUAAAAGUACAACUAUUUGAUCUUGUAUGAAAAAAAAGGUAAAAAGAAUUCAUGAAAAUUUCUUAUUAAAAGAUAUAAUUAUUUGAUUAUUUACACUAGACGUAAAAAUGACUCAUGAAAUCUCUUCUCAUUAAACGAUAUCAUAGUUUGAUCAAUGUACACCAAACGUGAAAAAAGUCACUCCUCCCUCCAUCAAUAUAAAAAGUAAAUCGAACAAAGAGAAACGAGGGGAAGAAGAUAAUUAAAUUAAAAAAAUUGGCUGGUAAGCAAUUAUUACGAAAUUAAUUAAGUACUUAAUCCAACCAAUACCAAAUGUUUUCAAAUCAAGAUUCUAAGAUUAUAUCAUAAAUUAAACCUUCAAGUUAUACACCAAAUAUAAUACCCCAUGUCUUGAUCCAUAGAUGAUCAGUACAAUUUACUAUUCAAACAAUAUUGUCAUCUACCUAUAUAUACAUGUUCAAAUUGAAACUAAUUGAGACAGAAAAUUUUUGACCUCAAUAUGUAUAAUUGAAGAAGGUGAUAGUGAUGAGCAAAGCAUAAAUACGAAAAUAAAAAAAAUAGGAGAUCAUAAUUAACAAAGUAUUGCUAAUUAAUUCCAUAUAUACUAAUUUUCCUACCUUAGUUAAUAAAUUCAUGAGAUGAAGGAGGGAAAAAAUAAAUAUAUAAAUAAAGCAUCAUCAGAAGCGGAUAAAUUUAGUGAUGGCAUAUUUGGUCAAGCUUCUAAUAGGUCAAACAUGCUUUAUUUUUUGUUUAAGAGUUAUCAAACUAGCUAGCUCGUAGUAUAUCUACAUAUAUAAUUACAUCUUAUAAAAAAAAAAAAAAUACCAAAAAUAUAGAAAUACCUUUUAUUCGAUUAAAAACAUAAUCUUGUAAUGGCCAUGAAGGAUGAUUAGUUAAAUAUUUUUUAUACAAAAUUAUAUUGCACAUAUAUAAAACAUAUUAAGUAUAUAGUAUAUAUAUUGAAAUCUCAUACCUUAGCGAAAUUAAUUUUCAGCUGGGCCAUCUAGUCAUAAUUUGCUGAUGCAGCAUCAUCAAGAUUCUCAUGUUCAAAACUAAUUAAUUAGAAACAGAUUUUAUUACAAAGUAAUAUUUUUUUUUCCCUGCUCCCCAUAAUUUGUUGUAUGUGAAUCUUGAUAGUGCUGCAGCUGCAAAUAACAACUGUAUAUAUAUGUAUCUCAAUCACUUGACCAUCUAUAAGAAUUGAUGGAAGUCAAAAUAAAAUAAGAAAAAAAAAAAAAGGAGUAUGAGAUCUGAACUCAGUAUAUAACAAAGAGGUAGAAUCCGGUGAACGAAAUAGAAGUGAAUCCAGUAUUUUUGACACGAAAUAUUGAUGUAAAUGUGAAAAAUAUUAAAACCUUUAUAUAUGAAGAUAAAUUUUGAGUUCAUAAUUUAAAAGUAUACUGAGUUAUUUUAACAUAUCAAAUUUAAAUCCUGAAUCCCUAAUCGUCAAAGAUUUCACUAAGAUCUCCAUCUAAAAAAUUUUGAGGAGAAAGAAUACAAAUUGAACAGAAAAAAAAUAAUACAAAGAUUCAGUUAAAAAUAGUGGAUGGAUUCAAUAUAUCAAAAAGAAAAAGAGGGGUACAUGUUGGAUUAAUAAAGCUAUUUUCUUGAGGUAAUUAAAAUUGUGAGAACUAGAAGAAAAAUUUGUAGUGAAGAAUCAUUUGAGUUUUCGAAUAAAAUAUUUUCCUUCAAUACAGAAAAUAAAACAUUAGAAAUACCACAAGAAGAAGAGCAUUACAUGUUGAAUGAAAGAGUUUUGUUGAACUUGUGUAUAUAUACACAGAGUCCCCAACCCCACCCCACCCCCACCCCCUUGUGUGGACCAAUGAAUAUUAAUAUUUAUUAAUAGGAAUUAACUAAUAUUUUUCUUCAUUUUAAUUUUAAAAACUUUCUAACUAACACAAAAAGAAAAAAAUAUGAAAUAUAUUAAAAGGGAAAAAAAUAGAACACAUAAACUAACAUAAUGGAAGUAGAUAUAUUUCAGGUCCAAUCAAUUUAAUGGUUCGACUCUUCCGCAGAUUCUAGGAAUUAAUGAGAGUUUAGUACACCAAGCUGUUAAAUCGAGUUAAUGAUGAAUAGUUGGACCAAGAAAACACAAGGCAACAAUCUUGAUUUGAUGUCGUUACCAGAACAAGAGAUAUGAUCAUCAUAUAUUUAUUGUUUAUCGGAUAUAAAUUAAUUUUUUUUUCUAUUUCAUAAGUUGAAACGAUUUACAUAUUCACUUGACUAUAAAUUUUAUCUCAUUUAAGUUAGCUACAUAUAUUGCUCGUUUAUUCAAAAAUUAUGAUCGAUCAAUAAUAGUUGCAUGUCUAACCACUUUCUCCUUCUUAAUCCGGCGAUUAGACAUGACAUCUAAUCCCCUUGAAUAAUCUAAGUAGUAUAUGUACAUCAAUUAAUCAAAUUACAAUAUUUUUUUAAUAUAAUUUUUUUGUUGUUAUAUUUAACUUUCACACAUGACGUCAUGUUAUUUUCAACUAGAAAUUAAGUUAGGACAAUUAAGAAAUAAUUACUCCAACAUAUGGGCAGACAACCUAGUAUCCUUUGGAUAUUUCUGUCCUCAAUUGAACCCCCACAAUCAAUUCUCAAGUGGAGUAUCAUCAAUGAACUAUAUUUCAUUGAUACAAUCAUGAUAGUCUGUCGAUUGUGAUCUGACUCAGCAAUAAUAUUAUAUAUAAAAAAAAAAAUUCGUUCUUAUUAGAGUGAAGGUGAGAUUUGUCAAACGUGAUUUGACUUAACAGUAACAUUAUACGAGAAGAUACUUUUGCUUUCUUUUUAACUUACAUAGUAAUGUGACUAGCACCAUACAUUAUGUUGAUAUAUUUUUGCGUGAUUCAACCUUGGGAUAGUUGAUUAAGCAUCUUCAUUAACAUAAAUAUUUAAUUAAGCAUCUACUUAGUUACAAAUAUUUUUUAAAAAAUAAUUACUUAAGUCUUCUUUUGAAAUUGGAGAAGUGGUUAUCCACUAGUUAAUGUCUCUUGCUUGUGGAACCAUGGACGGUUUCACUGUUUUUUCUUUUAUAUAAAGAAAAACAAAUGCUAUGAUCAUACUGCAUUUUUGUAAAUAUUAAAAAAGAAAAAUACUAUAGACAUUUUGAAAAAGAAUAAAUGAAUGGAGUAGUUGAUUAUUUUAUUCGAAAUAUAAAAUAAAUUCUUUUCAAUUCAACAGGAGAAGACUCUGUGCCUUCAAUUAAUUCAAGCAAUGUAGAAAGAAAGUCGUAUGACAACCAAUUAAAUUUGUCAACAUUGUUCAUGAACACAACAUCAAAAAUACUUUUGAAAAAUCUCUCAUGAAAAGGUACAAUUAUCCACAAUCAUCGUAUAAAAUGUCUUAAUAUAUGUUGCUUAACUAGUUCAUCUUAAUGUGUACUAGUCAUUUGAUUUGAUAUUAUUCUAUAUUGACUAUAUAGAUCAAGUUGGUAAAGAUUUACGUUUCAUUACUAAUUUCAUGGUUAAAUAUUAUCAAAAAUAAUGAAGUUUGUCCUAUUCACAUUGAAACUUCACAAAUACACAUGAACUCUUUUAAUCAAUGGUUAAUUAGGCAUUGAUUGACUCUGAAUUGCUAUCUGGUGAAGUUCCACUUGUACUAGAAAUAAGACAAAUAUUUUUUUUAAUAAACGAAACUUUCACUAUGUGCAUGAUAAAAAAAAAAAAAAAGGUCUGAUCAUUAACCUUAUUUUGCAAGUGUUGAGAACACAAUAACAUAAAUAAAAAUUUGUUAUUUUUAAAAGCUUAAGUUUUUAGAUAAGAAGAUCACAAUUUUAAUAGAAAUCAGAGUAUAUCUGAGAUUUUGAUUACUUAGAGUCUUACAAUCUUGAAUAAAUAUCAUGUAAUUGGCCAUAAAACAAAAUCAGAUCCACAUAUAAAGAGGUGUGCACGAAUUUAAUCA
rnacentral:lncRNA from 1 species